AGUGAACGCUGGCGGUAGGCCUAACACAUGCAAGUCGAACGGCAGCACAGUAAGAGCUUGCUCUUACGGGUGGCGAGUGGCGGACGGGUGAGGAAUACAUCGGAAUCUACUUUUUCGUGGGGGAUAACGUAGGGAAACUUACGCUAAUACCGCAUACGACCUACGGGUGAAAGCAGGGGAUCUUCGGACCUUGCGCGAUUGAAUGAGCCGAUGUCGGAUUAGCUAGUUGGCGGGGUAAAGGCCCACCAAGGCGACGAUCCGUAGCUGGUCUGAGAGGAUGAUCAGCCACACUGGAACUGAGACACGGUCCAGACUCCUACGGGAGGCCGCAGUGGGGAAUAUUGGACAAUGGGCGAAAGCCUGAUCCAGCCAUACCGCGUGCGUGAAGAAGGCCUUCGGGUUGUAAAGCCCUUUUGUUGGGAAAGAAAAGCAGCAGGUUAAGACCCCGCUGUUCUGACGGUACCCAAAGAAUAAGCACCGGCUAACUUCGUG
rnacentral:rRNA from 1 species